rnacentral:lncRNA from 1 species
GGGCGCCCCCUAAUGAUUGUUGCAUUAGAUAAAUCUAGAUCCAAAAUAAUCCAGAUCAAUUAGGCCUGCAUCACCAAUGAACUGCAAGGUCUUCUCGAGAAUUUCAAAUUCAAGAUAAAUCCAUCAUGCGAUGGCAGACAUGUAGCGGCAUCAUUCGCAUCUCAACAUUUCUUUUGAGAAGAAGCCCAUUAUUAAUUCCCCGAAUUCGCUUUCCACUGAUGUACUCCAAGCUUCAUAUUCCGCCACUUUUUUAAGAUAAUUGCUUGAUCUAGCAUA